UGGGGAAUAUUGCGCAAUGGGGGGAACCCUGACGCAGCAACGCCGCGUGAAGGAUGAAGGCUUUCGGGUUGUAAACUUCUUUGAUGAGGGACGAAAGAAAUGACGGUACCUCAAAAACAAGCCACGGCUAACUACGUGCCAGCAGCCGCGGUAAUACGUAGGUGGCGAGCGUUGUCCGGAAUUACUGGGUGUAAAGGGCGUGUAGGCGGGGAUGCAAGUCAGAUGUGAAAUGCCGGGGCUUAACUCCGGAGCUGCAUCUGAAACUGUGUUUCUUGAGUGUCGGAGAGGAAAGCGGAAUUCCCAGUGUAGCGGUGAAAUGCGUAGAUAUUGGGAGGAACACCAGUGGCGAAGGCGGCUUUCUGGACGAUAACUGACGCUGAGGCGCGAAAGCGUGGGGAGCAAAACAGGAUUAGAUACCCUGGUAGUCCACGCUGUAAACGAUGGAUACUAGGUGUAGGAGGUAUCGACCCCUUCUGUGCCGGAGUUAACACAAUAAGUAUCCCACCUGGGGAGUACGGCCGCAAGGUUGAAACUCAAAAGGAAUUGACGGGGGUCAUAGCUGUUUCCU
rnacentral:rRNA from 1 species